rnacentral:rRNA from 1 species
UACGUAGGGAGCAAGCGUUGUCCGGAUUCACUGGGUGUAAAGGGCGCGCAGGCGGACUGGCAAGUCAGGGGUGAAAUCUCACGGCUCAACCGUGAAACUGCCUUUGAUACUGCUAGUCUUGAGUUAGGGAGAGGUUGAUGGAAUUCUAGGUGUAGCGGUGAAAUGCGUAGAUAUCAUUUGGAACACCAAUGGUGAAAACAGCUCGCUGGGAGUGUGCUGACGCUGAGACACGAAAGCCAGGGGAGCGAACGGG